rnacentral:lncRNA from 1 species
UUCUUCAACAGAUAGAUACUCUUCAAAAAGGGAGUGGACAAUUCCACGGGCAUGACUCUCUCUUCCACCCUCGUAAGACUUGACAACACUCAAUAAAGGUUCAAGUAAUCUUUCUUGAGCUCCUCUUUCUUUAUCAGAGCAGGACCUUAAGUGUGCCUGGACUUGACAACACUCAAUAAAGGUUCAACUAAUCUUUCUUGAGCUCCUCUUUCUUUAUCAGAGCAGGACCUUAAGUGUGCCUGUACCAAGAUAGAGAUAAAACACGUAUAAAUGAAUACUAGUAUCUAGAUAAAUAAAGAAGAAC